rnacentral:rRNA from 1 species
UACGUAGGGUGCAGGCGUUAAUCGGAAUUACUGGGCGUAAAGCGUGCGCAGGCGGUCUUUUAAGUCAGAUGUGAAAUCCCCGGGCUUAACCUGGGAACUGCGUUUGAAACUGGAAGGCUUGAGUGUGGCAGAGGAGGGUGGAAGUCCACGUGGAGCAGUGAAAUGCGUAGAGAUGAGGAGGAACACCGAUGGCGAAGGCAGACCCCUGGGCUAACACUGACGCUCAGGCACGAAAGCGUGGGGAGCAAACAGG